UUGAAUUAGCAAGGAGGAGUUUGUCUUGUGGUUAGAAGUGAAAGUGAAAUGAAUGUGGAGGCCUUAUAAAAAGGAAGUUGUACGACGAGACGCCACUGCAGGAGGAGGAAGAGGAGGUCGACGAGGAAGAGCGGAGGGACACUGCAGUGCUGGACUUCCUGCUUUCAGCUCAAAAAUCAGCAGAAGCUCCUGUUGGUGCUUGUCUCCAUUCCAGCCUUUCUCAUCCAGCUGAUUUCCUGUGACACGCUGAGUUUUACUUUCUCUUCGGAGCCAACAGGUUUUUCAAGACCAGGGCACUCCUUCUAUGUCCCCGAAAGGUGAGUGGACAGCAUUGUCUACGGGCACAUCAUUCUCAGGUGUACAGAUGUGUGGGUGUUGGGUAUUUAGUGGAUAGUGCGGGUGCAUUUUGGAUGGUUGUGCGGCGAGAGGAGGUCACCGGGUCAAAAAUGAAUGUUUUGAGGAUUGUAGAACAAAAGGGCCCAAAUGUUUUCUUCCAAGGGCCUCCAUAUAGCAAAAUUGAAUGUUGCAAGGGCCACAUGCUUCACCGCUCAUUUAUUUUGUAAACCUAAACCAGUUCAUCAGUAUAAUCAACGAUAUGCCGAGCGAUCUCCAUUUCUAAAAGACUCGCGAGGUGAUUCAUCAAAAAAAAAAAAUCUGGAUUUUGCCUCUCGCCCUGAACCCAACGAGAAUAUAGGUCGGCCCGUUGCGCUGAGCAACAGGAGUCACAUCUCGACAUUGAGAACCAAAACAGGAGCAAUCUGUUCUCCGAUGGCCUUGAACAAACAGCUGAAAGUGGAACAAACAAUCGCAAUUCCUGCUAUUUUCUGCUGUGACCACAUCGUCUUCACUACAUGAACAUUACCGGUAAUUGUCUUGCUGUUAUUGUUCUAAACUGUUUUUUUUUGUGUGUGAAUCUAACACAGUUCUGUAUACACAACACUAUUUACUAUGACUAUAAUGUUCUCGAUGUCCCUAACAGUAUAGUUGCCGGUAUUUACUCUUCUGCAGUAUGUUCGUUGAAGUCCGGUUGGCUGUUUGUCAAUGUGUGCCGUGCAAUUUGCUGGCAACCAGUUCAGGGUGUCCUCAGCCUACUGCCCGAAGACAGCUGGGAUAGGUUCCAGAACGCCCCGCAACCCUUGUGAGGAUAAGCGAAUCAGAAAAUGGAUGGAUGGAUACAUCAGUUAUACCGGUUUGGUCAGUAACGUGUCGGGAAAAUGAUGAUCACUGUUUUCCAAAUUAAUAGCAGAUGUUUGCAAAUGUCUCAUUUGGAUCAAAAACAAAAGUCUGAUUUCGUGGAGGAUUACUGAAAUCAGAGAACAUUCACUUUCACUGGCUGCAUUGAGAGAAUUUCAACCAUUUUAAGGAUUUUUUUUCUCUCGAAAUGAUUGAUCAAUGAGUGAAAUAGUCGUGAAUUAAUUUGGCGAUCGAUUGUCAAUCAAUCAAUCAAUCAUGCACCUCUACUGGUAGCGCUUUGCAGAAACCGUCGUCAAGAAUUAGCACUUUGUUUGAAAAAGAUUGGUGAGCCCUGCUGCACAGUAGAGGAAAUGGUUGGCUGGAGAAUGCACUUGCGGAAUGUCGUAAAAACGGAAUUGUGUCGGUGUUGCGUUGGCGAUCGACAAUCACCAAUUGCUGUGUUCUGGACUCGUUGGUGGACCAGCAGGACCCCUCUCAUGUUGUGUUAGCAUUAGUGUCACGACUACCCCUGCCACCAUCCAUUUUUACCAGUAAAUUAUAUUGUAUUUCACAAAUGUCGAGACAGCAUAUUUAGGUCUUUUGGGCUCCGUAUUUGGGUCUCUGAAGUGCCCGCAAAAAUUUCACAACCAGGUAAAUCUUUUGUGAGUUGCCUAUUUUUAGAACACAUGUUUUUUGAAUCAAUUUAGACAGUAUUGCCUUCGCACUGCAUUACUUUGCCUCUUUACACAUGACUCAGGAGCUAGGCUGGAUGAAGGUUCAGAUGGAGUCCACUAACCAGGCUACAUUUAAUUCCGAUCAUUUCGGAAUUAACUAUAGCAUUGUCGCAGAUUAUAUUCAUACAUGUGUGUAGUUUUAGCUAGCAGUGUUAAUGGUGUAACCUUUUGAUUACGAGUAAGUUGUUCACAUGGUGAGGAUGGAGGAUGUUUGAGUUUGACGAUGUGUCCGCAACAUGUGCCACGUGCAUAGAUGCACGCGCUAAUUGGCGAAGUGUAAUUCAGCGACAUGGAGAUGAAGUGCUGCCUCCCCUGAAUGGAGAUGUACUCUCGUUCUGGAGACACACUUUUCUCUUCACACUAGACUCUUUGAAGGAACGAAAGUGUAUAGCCUGUCAUGGUCAUGGUCAUAAAAGCCCCGUUUAAGUCCAAAUUAUACUUGACACUUUAUACAUUACAAAUGCAUACAUUACUAUGUGGAUUGUGUGCUUUUAUAUGUAGAAGAUCUGGACCUCUUCUCCUUUUCAGGACAAGAUGCCAACCUGGACUGGGACUUUUAUUUUGGCGAGUGGGAUUGUAACGGAACCCAUAAUGCAGCCGUAAUGGUGACUUCCAGCUGGUUAAGGGCUCCGUUUCCAUCUCACCCUGCAUAAAACAUCUCAAAACGCGAGAUGCCCACAGCGCUUAAUUUGAAAAUUGUAAUGGACUUGAAUGCUUUAUAAUAGUACAAAUCCCAACCUGAUUUAUUUUUUUUAAGGAUUGUUGUAUUGUAACAAUAUUUUGAAAAGACUAGUUGGUGAUUUUCCUCAAUGACACGUUUUCUCCCGGCUUGCUUAGCCAACAGAAGACAGCCGGGAAUUCCGUGUCAGCCAAGAAUGACACCAAAUAUAAAUUCUCUUGAUCAUGCCGGAUAUUGAGGUGCAUUCAACUGUAGUCUACAUCCCUACUCAAAGCAUUGUUUAUAAUAAGCAAACAGGUUAAAAGUAACGCCACUGUCAACUCUCAUCAGACCAUGUUGCAAUUUCUUGUCUUUGUGUUGCUUCUUAUGUUGCCAAAUAAACAUUAGCAGCUA